ensembl:lncRNA Sumo3 small ubiquitin-like modifier 3
AUUUAAUUAAAAGUAUUUUUGUGAGGGCUGGGUAGUUGGCUCAGUGGUUAAAUACACUUGUUCUUGCAAAGGACCUGGGUUCAAUUCCCAAAACUUACAACUGUCUUUAGCUGUAGUCCCAGGAAAUCUGAUGCCCUCUUGUGGCCCCUAGUCAUUAGGCACACAAGUGAUGCACAUAUGUGCACAUAAAAACUAAUUAAAUGGGCUGGGGAUUUAGCUCAGUGGUAGAGCGGUUACCUAGGAAGCGCAAGGCCCUGGGUUCGGUCCCCAGCUCCGAAAAAAAGAACCAAAAAAAAAAAAAAAAAAAAACUAAUUAAACAAUUUGGGGGGUGGCUAGGUGGUUAUGGUACACACCUUUGAUCCUAGGAUUCGGGAGUUAUAGGUAAGCCAAUCUCUUGAGUUCGAAGCUGGCUUGAGCCACAGAGCGAGUUCUAGGAUAGUCAUGGCUACACAGAGAAAUUAUGUCUCAACUCUUUUUUUUUUUUUUUUUUUUUUUUUUGUGGGGUUGGAGAGAUUAGCUUAGGGGUGAAGAGAAGCAGCUGUUCUUCCAAAGGACCUGGGUUCGAUUCCCAGUACCCCCCCUGGCACCUCAACACUUCUAUAACUCCAGUGUUGGGGAUCCAAGAAUCCUCCAUGCAUUUGGGGUACAUAAGCUCACAUAACUACAUACACAGACACAUAGAAACAAAAGAUAAAUGAAUAAUACUUUUUUUUUGGUGAAUGUGAAAUGUUUCUCUAAAAAUGCUGGGUCUGGCGCGAUAGCUUGCUGGGUAAGAUGCUUGUCACCAAACCCAAUGACUUGAGUUCAUGUGAGUGUCCCCCUCAUUAAAAAUGUAUUCAAGUGUCUUAAGAUGCUGACAUUGCCGUAUAUGAAAUAGCGUAAGUGCACAAAGUGUUUUCUGUGGCUGAUGAGUCUGUUUUUAAUGACCCCAUUUUUCUCUCAGUUCUUAGCUCUGAUUAUUCUUCUGUGAAUCUUGUCAGAAGUCGGGUGGAUAAGUAGUUACUGAGACUCCACAGUAACCCUUUUUCUCGCAUGCUGCACUCCAGCCAAGCUGGAGAUGGAGGAUGAGGACACCAUUGAUGUAUUCCAGCAGCAGACGGGAGGAACGGCCUCCCGAGCCAGCGUCCCCACACCCAGCCAUUUUCCUGACAUUUGCUAUUGAAUGGUGACCAUGCAGCCACACCAAUCACACAAGAGUCCGCAGAAGCCAGAGUCACCGAAAAGAGUCUCCUUUCCCGAUGCGCUUGGAGUGAACUACAUCCAGAAUACGCUGCAGGGCGAGAGCAUUACAUACCCUGGUCGUUAGGAGGGUUUGGUUUGGGGGAAAUGAGGCGUGGGGUUUUUGGGGUUUGUUUUGUUUUCAUUUGUUUCCUCCCAUUUCUAAAAUUUUUUCUCCCCCAAACUUGGGUCUGGAUGUACAGACUCUCACCCUGUGGCCUGAGUCUAAUCCCUAGAACUAUGGUUUCCUCCGGUGUGACUUGUCCUGAUCAGGUAGAGAGAGCUUGUGGUCACAUUACCCAGUGGGCAUACCUGUGGGAUGUGGGGAGGGGCAGAGAAGCAGAAUUCCACCCGUUUGUUGUAGGCAUAGGAUAUUAAAAUGUGAAAUACUGUAAAUUUGAGCUUUGUCAAGCAUAUGGUGAAGUUAAGGGAAAAAGACCAGUGCUUCUUAAAAACUGUGAGGAGUCUUCCUACUGUGGCCCAGGCCGGCAUAUGCCCACUUGCUUCUGGCAUCUGGUAAUGGAUACAUCGGUAAGGGUGGCAUAGUGAAACCCACCCCCCACCCUUUUUAUAAUGUCCAAGAAAGUAAUUGUCCCGUCCCAUUUGGAAAUUGAACAUGAUCUCAGAUUCUUCUGGUCCUUGCUAGAUAUAUAAUUAUGGUUUCUGUCUAAGAAGGUAAUCAGUUAAGUAUCAAGUUUGCUGCAGUGUUGUGUAAGAGCCCCGCUUUCAAGUGUGGUUGCAAAAGCAAGCCCAGGAAAGGUGACCUCAUUUUCCCGGAUUGUGGUGUGCAGUUUUCCAAGUGUGUGUUAACGGGACGCCUCGGUGGGUGACUGCGGUUCUGCAUCGUGGGGUCAGUUAAAUGUCUAUAGUUCCUGCCUGCCAUCCUUCUGUAAGGAUCCAUUGCUGCUUGAUGGCCAUCUCUGCCUUUUAUAGUCACCCGACACUGACCUACCAUCUCUCGCUUGCUUAAAGUCCCGAGGAAAAUGUUUCUGCCUGUUUGCUGCGUGGGCCUGGGUGGGGUGUCUGUCGGCUCUGUUGUGUUUCUUCACCGGUUUGUACCUGUUGUCCUUUACUACUGUAAACAGUAAAUAUAGUUUGGUAUUCUGUCUCUUGGCCUAUGUUAAACGCUGUAUUUGGAGACUGGUCAUAUGUCACAGCUCACUGUUGACAGUCUGUCCAGUGAGGCCACUCAGACGGACAGACAAGGCAUUGCUUAGCUUGCUUUGCAGCAUGUGUGCCCUGUGCUGGUCCUGAGUCUGCACAGACUGCACAACUAGGCUCUCCUCCCCUUGGUGUGUGAAGAUAAGGUGGGCUUUAGAGGCAGGGCGUAACGUGGGGUCUCUCAGUUCACGACUGCUCAUCUGCUUUGGCAGGAGUUGGUGCUAAUUUGGCUGUGAGGGGUUUCAGUACUUAGGUGAGACAAAACCAGGGUUCUCAUGGCCCAAGCUAUUUUAGCCUGUAAGUUAAGCACCAACACCAAGCACUUAAUUCGUCCAGCAGGAAUGUGUGGAUUAAAAUGGAGCACAGAGCCAUUUUCUAGGUCCCUCAAAGAUUAAUUACUUUCUCAAUAUUGUCACAGAGUUAGUGGCAAGCAGCCUAGAGGAGCAAGAGUUUAUUUUGGCUUAUGGUUUGAGGGUACGUCCUCAUGACAGGGAAUACAAAGGUAACUGGAGCAUUAGGCUGCUUGUUGGGGCUCUGGGGGAUCAGGAAGCAGUUAAUCCUGUCAGGAAAAGGUCUUAGGGUAUACUCAAAGGUGAACUUCAUUAACACUCUAGGCAUUUUUUAAUUGAUUCAAGUUUCUUGUCAGCCAGACACCCAAAUACAUCAUUGUAGAAUCAAUCUACUUGGCUCUUUAAAAUCAUGUGUUACAUAUUACAAAACACAUUUAGUCUGUCUCUGGGUGCCCACCCUCAAAGUUCAAAGUCAGCUCUGAGACUCCAGAUGAUUUUUGAGCCCCUGUAAAAUAAACAAGUUACUUCUAACAUAUAGCGCCAAGGCCUAUUUCAAAAGGGAGGGACUGGAGCAUAGCAAAGAAAGAUUAGGCGGAAGCCAGAUUAAUGAAAGCCAGCAGGGCACAAACCGAAGCCUGCUGCUCCGUGUCUAGCGUCAGAGGUUCUUGACAUCAUUUGGGCCCCGGUAGCCGUGGGUAGUCCCAUCCCACAGUUCUGUUGCCUGAGGUGUCUGUGGUCUCUGUUGGGCCAAUACCUGGUGCCUGCAGCACUCCUCCAUGAACAUCUCACCCUUCUGGCUUCUCUAACAUCUGGGGAUCCCUUACUAUAGAACCUCUGCCUUCUCAACUCCACACAGCUUCGUCUCAGGGCCUCUGUACAGGAAAUCUGAAAUCUGAUAUUCCCAUUCAUUGCCUUGUUAGUGGCUUUCUGGAAUCUUGGCACAGAUUUCCAUCCUUUCUCCUCCCUUACAACUUGCAAUUGUGGAUGCUGCCACCAAAUUUGGCUGUCAGUUCCAGAUGAAGCCUGGCACCCUUAGGCCACAGUUGCAGCCACCUCUGUGUGCUCUCGCAGCUGGGAAAACAUCUCCGUACAUGCUGGGUUUUUUUACCCCCAGCAGGAAACCCUGAAGACUCUCUUCAGGCACUCUCCUUUCAGAUAAAUUUGCAUUUUUUUCUCGGAGCUGGGGACCGAACCCAGGGCCUUGCGCUUGCUAGGCAAGCGCUCUACCACUGAGCUAAAUCCCCAAGUCCAAAUUUGCAUUUUUAUUCCCUGGAGUUCUCAUUUCAAUAGGUACUGUACCUAGUGUUCCAGUGCAAGGCCUCAGACAGCUCUUGACUGGCACUAAAUUCCUUUAACCCCUACGGUCAGUUUGUUCCAAAUCUGCCCUGCCCUUAACUUGGUCUGACCUCUACUCACCAAAGAACACUUCCCACAUUUCUCUGAGCCACUUUCCACCUGUUGUCACUGUAAAUCUGGAUAAAUGCGGCAAACGAGAACCAUGCCACAGCCUGGGUGUCCGGUAGGCUGCCUUGAAAAUCCACCUGCCAAUCAGCUUCCUUAGCCCAUUGCUUUUGAAAGUUAGCCUCAUUCCAUCCAGUUUUUAGGUUGCAGGGUAAACACAAAAUUGUUAUGGGGAGUCCACCAGAGAAAACCACUCUGAUACUCUGUAGCCAAUUAGAAGUCUUUAUUCCAGCCAGCCGGGACCAUGCUUAGGUAUUUGGGAUUUAAGACUAAAGAGCACUGGUCGGAAAGGGUUCUAUCAGUAUCAAAAAUACAGUUCUAAAGUAGCAGCAAAGGUAAUGUUAAAGUUGGGGGUCACCACAACACAAGGAACUGUGUUAAAGGUUCUCGGCACUAGGAAGGUUGAGAACCGCUGGUUUAGAGUGUGGAGUAAGGUGUCUUUAAAGACAAAACCCACAUCCUGAUAACUCAGCAGUUUGCAGGGAGAAGUUUUGUGCAAGCAAGCAAUUUAAAAGCAGUCAGCUGGAGGAGGUUCUGCACAAGGUUUUACAGAAGCUAAAUUACCUAGGCACCUUGACCUCAGGUGCCUAGAAUAGAGUUGAGUGACUGUCCCUGGGGCUUUCCAUCAAGGAGAUCAGAUUUUAGUUAAACCUAAUAUGGCCUCAGCAAGAAUCCAAGAUGGAGGAAACUGCAUGGUGUUGCCCUGUCACGGUGUGAUGUGAAAUGGUUGCCAGCCGAGUUUCUGAUGUGCUCCCUGUUCACCUCUGGGAUAAAGCUUUGUGAGCAGUCUUGACUGCCUGCAUUUCUUGGCAUUCUGGUCUUCCGGAUUCCCACCAGAAUGGGAAUGUUAGCCCUGCUCACAGCAUUCCAGGGCUAGUCUAGCUCACAGCUCUGAACCUGUUUUCCACUUUUCUCCUUAAAACUAGCUCUGGCUGGGGCUAGAGAGAUGACUCAGAGGUUAAGAGCACUGUCUGCUCUUCCAGAGGUUCUGAGUUCAAGUCCCAGGAACCACAUGGUGGCUCACAACCAUCUGUAAUGGGAUCCGAUGCCCUCUUCUGAUGUGUCUGAAGACAGUGACAGUGUGCUCAUAUAAAAUAAAUAAAAAUUAAAAAAACAACAAAACAAACAACCAGCUCUGAAGAACUGUACCUCGUGGUCAGGUUUGUCACCGCAAUGGCCUCAGUUCAU